rnacentral:rRNA from 1 species
CUACCGGGGUUUCUAAUCCUGUUCGCUCCCCACGCUUUCGUGCCUGAGCGUCAGUACCCGUCCAGCUAUCCGCCUACGCUUCUGGUAUUCCUCGUGAUAUUUACGCAUUUCACCGCUACACCACGAAUUCUGAUAGCCUCUCCGGGACUCAAGACGUGCAGUAUCAAGGGCAAUUCACCGGUUAGGCCGGUGGCUUUCACCCCUGACUUACACGCCCGCCUGCGCACCCUUUACACCCAGUGAUUCCGGACAACGCUUGGACCCUCCGUAUUACCGCGGCUGCUGGCAC